rnacentral:rRNA from 1 species
CCCGCACAAGCGGUGGAGUAUGUGGUUUAAUUCGAUGCAACGCGAAGAACCUUACCUGGUCUUGACAUCCCGGAGACCCUUAGGAAACUAGGGGGUGCUUCCAUCUGGAAGAAUCUGGAGACAGGUGCUGCAUGGCUGUCGUCAGCUCGUGUCGUGAGAUGUUGGGUUAAGUCCCGCAACGAGCGCAACCCUUGCCUUUAGUUGCCAGCAGUUCGGCUGGGCACUCUAAAGGGACUGCCGGUGUUAAACCGGAGGAAGGUGGGGAUGACGUCAAGUCCUCAUGGCCUUUAUGACCAGGGCUACACACGUACUACAAUGGCCGAUACAAAGGGCAGCGACAUUGCGAGGUGAAGCCAAUCCCGUAAAAUCGGUCUCAGUCCGGAUUGGAGUCUGCAACUCGACUCCAUGAAGUUGGAAUCGCUAGUAAUCGUGGAUCAGCAUGCCACGGUGAAUACGUUCCCGGGCCUU